rnacentral:rRNA from 1 species
UACAGAGAGUGCAAACGUUGUUCGGAAUUACUGGGCUUAAAGCGCACGUAGGCGGCGUCAUAAGUGUCAGGUGAAAUCCCACGGCUCACCCGUGGAACUGCCUGGCAGACUGUGAUGCUAGAGUGUGGUAGGGGAGAGCGGAACUCUUGGUGGAGCGGUGAAAUGCGUAGAUAUCAAGAGGAACACCGGUGGCGAAGGCGGCUCUCUGGUCCACAACUGACGCUGAGGUGCGAAAGCUAGGGGAGCAAACGGG